CAAGGAAGGACUUUCUGGAAUCUACUUAUCUGAUCAAGAAAGCUUCUUUCCAAAAGAAAUGCAAUUGUCUUGAGACUUCUUCCCUAGGGAUCUGAUCAACUAACCAGAAAAGAGCAACCACCAGAGAAGAGACUGUGGGUGUCAUUGUGACUGGCUGCUACCUCCCCAUGAGUCUUCUAAAAUAAAACCUGCAAAUUCACAUCUUCCCCAUGCUUCCAGAGAAUGCAUAUUCUUCCUUUGAAAAAAGAAAACCAGGUAGUCGUACAGUGUCCAGAAGGCAAAAGGACAAGUAUGCACUGCCCUACUGACCUACUUUCCACACUGCUGCACAGGAAAAUCUGACAGAGGACAAUAACAAACAUCUCACCAGCUCAUGCGUUCUUUUUUGAUCCUAAUUCCGAGAGACUCACCAAAGACAUGAAGAGAAAACAAACAAUACUUUUCUUGGAAAUAUUGUAAUUGCUGGUAUAUUUGUUGUUCUGGCAUAAAGUAGAAAUUGUCAGGUAAACAUUGCUUCCUUUUGGAUCAAAAAGAAAUUUAACCAAAUAAAUGCAAGAGGUAUGAGGGAAGAUAAUGGGAAAUAAAUGAGAUUUGAGAAAUCA
rnacentral:antisense_RNA from 1 species